CUCAGGACAAGAGAUGGAAUCUGCAGUGUCUUUUAUGACCUCGACCUGGGGCCACACUGUCACCUCUGUGACAGUCUGUUGGGUGCACAGACAAGCCCUAGAAGGACAUGGGGAGCCUGCACGAGGGUUUGAACACCAGGAGGCAGACAUCACGGGGGCACAGGCUGCCCUCUGGCCAUGAUCCGCUCCCUCUCAUGAGCAAACGCGCCCACGCCCUCCAGGCCCCAGAGUCUCAUCCUGUCACAGCAGCAGCUCGAGUCUUAACAACGUCGUGGGUCUCCUGUGGACCUUUUGGAGUUCAUUCCAUUGGUCAGACACCAAGUUCACGGUCUCUUUGAGGGUCGCCAGCAGCUUUCGGGCCCUGCCGUCUGCUGUCUGCUGUCUGGAGACCUGGGGCCACGGUUCAUUCUCUCCCGGGUUCUGAGUGUCCUGUGACACAGCAGCUGCCCCCCCACAGCCAGUGACCCAGGAGACGGAGAGCAGCGAGACGUGAGCCACCUGUCCUUACAACCUGAUCUUGGAAGUGACAUGGCGUUGCGACCAGGCCCGCCACUGCUGCUGUGCAACUCAUGUGAACACACGGAAGCUGGAACCUUCCGUAGCACACGGCCAAAACACAUUUCCCAAAUAUGCUCACACUGGCGAGGAAACAGACACAGCAGGUGGGGAGCUGGGAGCCCCCUUACUUGCCAGGGCCACAAGAAUGUCGAAGGCAGACCACGUGCCUCCCACACCUGACCGUCUCGGGAAGCGGCUGGUGGAAGGAUCUAGAAGGUGGUGGGUGUCGGGUGCUCCUCUCCGCUCUCUGCUCUUUGAUGCUGUUGUGCUCAGUCUGCGUCUCAGAUGUGUUUCCUACCAGGGGACCCUGAUACGGUGCAGCCGAGGAGCAUGGACGGGCCGUGGGUCAGCGUGAUGCAGACUUCCCCAGUGGUCCUCAGGGGCAGGCACUGGGGAGGGGGGCAGGCUGCCAGGUACACGGGGGUGCCCAGCCGGGGUUUUGGAAUGAAAGCAGGAAGGAAGGAAGAGAGAGAGAGGGAGACAGGAAGAAAAGGAGGAAGGAAAGAAGGAGGGAGGAACGGAGGGAGGAAGGAAGGAAGGAAAGGAGGGAGGGAGAAAAAGACUUUCACGCUCCUCAGACCCUGGUCUCUAAUCCCUCCUCUCAGAGCAGCAGCAUCUUGGGUCACCGAGGAUGCGAAGGUGACUGGAGGACUCGGGGCCUCUGUGGGGCGUCCUCCACUUCCCAAAGGUACAGGCAGACAAGCAGAGUGGACAGCGGGUUAUAUGACACCAGGGGACAGGGGUCCUAGAGCUAGGGUCCCUCCCCCAGGGCACUGACUACAGACCCAUGAGCUCUCCCUCUGGCCAACCUCCAGCCUCACCCACGCUGCCCACCUCCCCUGCUCUCCCCACACGCUCAUCACUGCCUCAACCUUGCCCACACCCUGACAUGCACUGGCCUGGCCAGCAGGAGCGGACUGACCGCUCGUCAUGAUUGCCUCAUCAGACAGAUUCUCAGGGACUUGGAGGGGACCAAGCGUCAAGCUAGGGAAUCAAGAAAAAGACCCUCAGCAGUCCCGUGGGUGGACAAGGACAGACGGAGAGGGCAAGGCCCGAGGAAUCGCCUCGAUGCUGAGCGUGGACGUGUGACGUGGAUGAAGGGUCCUCGCGCCAGGCCUGGCUCCGGGCAAGGGUUGACUGGCUGUGUGGCAGCCCAGAGCCCCUCCAGCUGGGCCCCCCACGCUGGGCCCCCCACGCCCUUUCCCUCCUCAGUUCUUGGUCUUCCGCACUCGGAGUCUGCUGGGGCAGAGGGAAUGUCCCCCUUGGCCCCCAGGUGCCAGAUUUGUGGGGACUCUGCAGAAACGAACCUGGUAAGUGGCUUCUCAUCUCAGAUGCCGGCUCAGCUGUCCGAGGUCACUGCCGCACCCGCCUGCCAGCACUUCUCCUCCAUGGUCCUAAACUGGGGUGGUGGCAGCUUUGGCCGCAUGGCCAGUGCCUUUUUAUGUCUGUUUCAAAACCAAAAAGGCCUGCCCUGAAUCUACCCUCAAAGGAAAGCGUUACGGGAGACGAGACAGAAUUAAAAGCAGCCCUUUAUCUGCUCCAGGGGCUCUGCACCCCCUCCCAACCCUGGCAGCAAAGUCGCCUCUGACUGUCAUAAACCAGCAGCUCCCUGGGAUUCCAGAUGUGAGCCGUUGGAUCGGAAUUUACGACGCCUGGAGCUGAAGGCCACUUCCGUCCUCCCACGGGGCAGAGGGCGGGGAAGUGCCCCACAGACAAAGAACCGGAUGGACAAAGGUUUCCCCCGUUACAGGGGACCGGGUGGGCGCCCUGUGCACAAUGUGCUCUCCCCAGCGCAUGUUCUGAUCCCAACAGCUCCGUCCCUGCUAACGGGAAGCCCCUCCAGGCCCUCAGACUGGAACAUAAAUAACCGCGCAUCCUGCACGAGGUGACGCGAUCUUAAGUGGAGACACUUGCGGAGUCAGGUGUGUGUAUUGUCUGCCUCCUCCAAGUGCAGGCGUUUCAGAGAGACGGACAAACUCAAGCCGCUCUGAGGAUUUGCUGAGUAUCUUAAAUGAUUACAGUUUUCAUAGUAUAGAUUGAUAAAGCUCCACCUGGUUUUGGCCGAGUCCACUUCCCGGUACCUUAGACAUGCACAUCAUGGAGAGAAAAAAGCAGCACAGAUGUUCUGAUUCAUUCACAUUUUGGAGAAACAUAUCCAAUAUUCAGAGAUUCAGCCUCCUCCUAGGCCCCCGCCCUGCAGGGCUGAGGAGGAGGCGCAGGGAUCUGGGAGGCAACAGCUCAGGUGCCCACGGGCCAAGCGGAGGGCUCUGCUCGGAGCUGUGUGAGGGGGAAGGGGCUCUUCCCGGGCUGAUAUUUCAUGGUUUGUAAAGUGUCCGACUCCCGGCCUCUCAGUCUGCAGAACGGGUGGCCCCAGGCGCACACGAGGCAGGCUCCUCCCACCUCUCUGCGCACCUGCACCACGGGGCCCAGUGCUGCUCUGCCCUCGUCAGCGUUCAGGUCCCCAGGACCCCGCACCCGCUCUGCUCUGCCCCAAAGCCGACCUUCUCCUCUAAGCCUCCCUUGAGCGUGAGUGGGGUCUGUCUGCCCAGGAUCUGCACAGACAGACAAAACCGAGCCGUGCGUUCUCGCCAGCUUCACGUUAAGAUCUGUCCCUGCUGCUCUGAGAACGGCCGCUUGUCUUUCUUCCUCUCGUCCACUUUCUCAGUGCCUCCCUGCCAUCGGUUUAGAGAUUCUAUGUCAGGAUUAAAGAGGAGACAGAGGGUGACAGACAGUCAGACAACCGGAGACCAGAAAUCUCAGCCACAUCACCAACAGCCGAAGGCCCCAGUCUGGAGACAACUGGCGAGAAGUCGUUGUUUUCUAGAAUGAGGUUCAGACAACGUCCUGUGACAGGGGACCCCGUCCGGGACCAUCAGGCCUCAGCAUUUCAGUUCCCCACCUCCUAGAGACGCGGAAAACAGCCAGGAUAGGAGGCCACGUGCAGCGGCAAACUCAUACCUCACUCGUUUUCUCUAAGGAAAGCUGGCGAAGUUUGGGUGAGGACGAAGCCAGAAAAUCAGAAGCUGCUGCUCACGCUCUGGGAAUGGGUGCCCCUCGGAUGUCAGCUCCUGCUGGGCUUCUGGGAGGGAGCACGAUCCCUGCUGGAUGGUAAAUCACCAAAAACGCGUCAACCCACCCGUACAGGAAGGUUCCCAGCCAGGGGGAGAAGAGAGCUUCCUCGUUUCCAGGAGUGAAGCCAACGUCCUCUCUUCAUAAGCAAGAACCACAGAUGAACAGAGAAAAUACAUUUUCAGUAGCCAGCCGUCAUUGAGACCUUUCUAGGUACAAAACCGUCUUCCGAUCAGUUCACGCACAUUAAUACGCUGAGUCGUCUCCUCAGCCCGGGGAGGGAAGCCCCUCAGGACCCAUUGACAGAUGUGGAAACAGAGGCGCCAGAAGAGGAACAGCACCUGAGGGCGCCGGCUGGCGCGUGCAGGGCUGAGCUUCACGGGCGGCAGCUUCAGAGGGGUGGGUCCCUACGUGGGGCACGUCAGGGUGCAGGCCAGGACCUACCCCUCCUGGAGGGCGGAAAGAGGAGCCUGUGAGUCAGUGAGCCAACAGCCACGGCCUGCUGGUGACAGGCAGACCCAGAGGACAAAGGUAUCCGGGGGCUUCUCCCUUCCUGAAGCGCCAAAACUCAGAAACCAUCAACAGCAGUCUCCUCUGGGUGCGACAUGAAGAAAGAAAAUUAAUGCAGCUGCUCAGACUCAAGGACUCGCGCUCCUCCCAGCGCCCCUCACCUCUGAAUCACCACCUCUGGCUGAGGACAGGGGCUCCUGGGCUCAAUAUCGUGAGGCUCUCGGCUGAACGGAGUGAUCUGGAUCAUACUCCUUUGCCUAAAACUAAAUGCACGAUGCGACCCGUCCCUUUUCAAAUAAAGUAGGACGAACCACACACCCCGUCAGUGCGGACGGUGGUGUAACGAGGGCGAAGGCCCCAGCACCAGGGUCUUGGGCAGGAACUCUCCCUGGACACACCGUGCUCUGCACACGCCCGCUUUCUCCCCUGGGAUGCCCUCUCCUGUCUUGAUGUGGACUUUCACUGGUUAUUCUUCUCUCUGAUAAUUAAAUUAUUUUCAUAGUGUUUUAAUUACAUUCAUAGC
rnacentral:lncRNA from 1 species